CUAGUAUUUUCAAACGACGUUAGAAUGUGUCUAAGGCUCAUUUGUUUCGCGCAUAAAAAUAGUAUAUACAUUUCCGUUUAAUUGUUUUCCACAAUAUUAUACUUCAUUUAUACUCAAGAAAUCCCUUUUUUCUGUUUUCUAGAUCUAAUAUUAUUCCUAAAAAAUAUGGUACGUGAAAAUGCUGAUUUCCAUGUAUUUCAAGUGCUCAGAACAGUUUUGACUUUGAGGGGACCAAAUGCUAGUCUUACCGACCUUGGAAAUAAAGCAAUCCUAACGGUUUUUAUGACAGCUUUGAGACGAACCGGGGGUGAACAAAAUAUUUCAGCACUAGAAACAGAAGUAAUGAAUAUUUUAGACGGAAUUGAAUGAUGCGAUGGCGUAAAGAGAACAGUACGUUGCCCAGGCGAGAAGUAAUAGGGACUGAUGACAAUCCUCAUGGACAAAGCGCAGCGACAGUGCAAGAGACCGCCAGGUUUAAACCAGUACCAACAGAUGCUGACGUUGAAACUGAACUCAAAAAAGAAAACGAGGCACUGUUAGAUGAGAUAAUAGAGGCAUCAACACUCUGCACAAAGUUUUGACGGGAAAGUACUUCAUUAUAGCAAAGCAAGGAAGUGGAGUAACACAGUCAGUCACUGGAGAAUUAUUAAGAUACAACAACUGUGGUUCUUCAGUGGAGACAAUAAAAAGGAUAGCCUACCCGACAUUCACAGGCGACAGAAGAUUACACAAAUAUACAAAAAACUCCCACAAAUCAUUGACUUUGCUGGACUUGGAAACGUGAACAAACCUGAAUUGUCAGAGAUACUUGAACUGUUGAUUGGAGGAUUCCUUCCAUCAAGAACGAGUAUGAAAGCUUUAGAAGAUGGUCAAAAGAACUUUGGAGUCGGAGCGCUGAAGCGUGUUUUCCCGAAAGCAAAUCCUCACUGGAAAGUCUCGAAAAUUAUCUUCAUGCAUAGCUACGUUGAUGAAUUCCCAGACAAACUAAUAGAAUGCCUCAAUGGGGUUUUGAAUAUAUUUCGACUUCCAAAAUUUUAUCUCGAAUAUAAACCGGAUAUUUUUGCACUCACUUGAAAAUUUGAUUUGGCUCAAGACCAUAGCUUACAUUCUUUACAUGCGUCCCGUGAAGCAGUCUUAUCCCUAGCAAAGAUUGAAAAGGCUGAAAAAGACCUUGCUAACAAAUUGAACAUCACGGGGAGAUCAUUCCGUUGGAUAAGUAUUACAGAUAGUAUAAGCGUACACAGCAAAUAUGUUGAGAACAUUGCUUUAAAAUUUCUGAAGUCUGUGCUUCAACCAGGAAGCCCCCGCCAUCAACCUUCAGAAAGUGACUUGGGACUAUGGCCGUACUUGGAACAAAUAAGCGAAGUACAAAGUUCCAUGAACAAUAAUUAUAUCUUUCGUUUUGAAUUCUACACAAGUAAUAGAACGAGUAUGUACCAAUUCAUAAACAUAUAACUGAUUGUUAAAAAAUAUGUUCAGUAGCAUACUCUCCAAUCCCGACCCAGUGGUCAUGUUUGUGUAUUAGUAAAUAAUAUAAUUUGAAAAUAAAAAUAUUUCAAAAAUGUAUCUUGAUAACCAAUGCAAUAAGUUAUAUCUGUCUUACAAAAGCUUGCAAUGGUGCUAAAACUUAAAAGAAUAAAAUCCUAAGAACAUGUUUUGGAUAUGUAAGAGCAGGUUUUUGGUUUUGGGCGAGUAAAAUUCGUUUGUCAGUAGCUAGUGUAACUAUGUUUACAUACAUGUACUAAAUGUCAUUUUACAGUUUCAAAGUGUACGUUGUAUUAUAUAGGUUUCUUGUAUAUGGCGUGUCUUGUAGAAUUACAUAUUGUAUUGUUUUUAUAUGCUGUGAGUGUAACAGAAUAUAAAUAAACAAUCUGAUUUUUUUAGAAGAAUGACUUUCCAUUUAUAGAAUAUGUGUACUUAUUUGAAAUGUGUACUUACUUGAAAUGUAUAACACUUUAUUUUGAAAUUAAAACGCUUUAUUUUUAAACAUAUGUUGAAACGUUUAUUUUGAUUUUCCUAGUUAUAAAGAAAAUACUUUCAUGUACAUUGCGAAAUAUAUAGGAACGGAUAUUUUGAAAACAUGACGGAAAAGGCGUCUGACUUUUACAUAUGGAGAACUUUACUCUAAAAUACAGUCCAUUUUCUAUCAUUUCCAUGAGUCAUUCCGAUAUUUUAACUGCGUUUCGGCACAUAAUUCCAUCCAGUACAUCCAUUAAGAUGUAGAAAGUCAAAGAACAUGGCAUCAUGAUAGUUUUUAUCUCGACUAUUCAAAGAAUAGUAGAGCUAUUGGACUCGCCUGUGCGUCG
rnacentral:lncRNA from 1 species